CGAAAUGCGAUAAGUAAUGUGAAUUGCAGAAUUCAGUGAAUCAUCGAAUCUUUGAACGCACCUUUCGCUCCUUGGUAUUCCGAGGAGCAUGCCUGUUUGAGUGUCAUGGAAUUCUCAACUCUAUUUGCUUUUGUGAAUAGAGCUUGGAUUUGGAGGUUUAUUGCUGGUACUUGUGAUCGGCUCCUCUUGAAUGCAUUAGCUCGAACCUUUGCGGAUCAGCUAUCGGUGUGAUAAUUGUCUACGCCGUUGCAGUGAAGCAUAUCGAUGGGCUCGGCUUCCAAUCGUCCUUUACUGGACAAUGACUUUGACCUUUGACCUCAAAUCAGGUAGGAUUACCCGCUGAACUUAAGC
rnacentral:misc_RNA from 1 species